UCGAAGCCUAGAAAGCACGACCGCGAACGAGUUUCAAUCCGGGGGCGGCGUUGGUGAGCUCUCGAGCGACCCAUCGUUCCCCCGCUCGGAUGGCGUGCGGCCUCGUGCCGCCCGGCUUCCGAAACUAACGAACCCCGGCGCGGCAAGCGCCAAGGAAUCAUAACGAAAGAACUUGUCGCUCGAGCCCGUCCUCGGGACUCGGGCGGCAGGAGUCUGUUCAAUUACAGUCACAACGACUCUCGGCAACGGAUAUCUCGGCUCUCGCAUCGAUGAAGAACGUAGCGAAAUGCGAUACUUGGUGUGAAUUGCAGAAUCCCGUGAAUCAUCGAGUCUUUGAACGCAAGUUGCGCCCGAAGCCUUUAGGCCGAGGGCACGUCUGCCUGGGCGUCAUGCACUGCGAUGCCCCCCAUACACUUUGUACGGGGAGCGGAUCAUGGCCUCCCGUGAGCCCCAACUCGCGGAUGGCUUAAAAGCGAGCCUCGGGACGGCGAGCCGUCGCGACAAGUGGUGGUUAGAGGCCUUCGGCCUUCGAGCUUAGCACGUCGCGCGAUCCCGCCCCUCUCUUGCUCCGAAGUAACCCCGAGGGAGCGCUUCCGCGCUGCCCAGCAUCG
rnacentral:misc_RNA from 1 species